rnacentral:tRNA from 1 species
GGGCGAUUAGCUCAGGCGGUCAGAGCACAGUCCUGAUAAGACUGGGGUCCGUGGUUCGAGUCCACGAUCGCCCACCA